CUUCACGCAGCGAGCACCGUGUUGCUGUUCAGCUGGUACCCGUGUGUUCAUCCGGUCUUUUCUCACGAGUCCAAGUAUUAACCCUGUCUACGGACUGUGACUUCAGCUGUGAUAGAGACUGCAUCAUAUCCUGCCAAGGAGGCUAUUAUUACACUUCAGGAAACUGCUUGGAAUGUCCUGUGGGAUUUUACUGUUCAGGGGAAGGAACAUCUGCCCCAAGAAAAUGUCCACCUGGUACCCAUAACUACUUCACCGGGAAAGCGGAUGUAAAAGCAUGCCUGCCUUGCCCUCCAGGCUCCAUCAGUACAGAGGAGGGAGCAGCCUGCAAGCCGUGCCCAGCCGGUACCUCCUGUGAUCCGGGUUCCGGUGAGCUGAGGGCCUGCCCCCAGGGGCAGCACUCACCCGAGGG